rnacentral:lncRNA from 1 species
UGGAUAAUUAUUAUUGCCUUGACUCUAAGAGUAUGUAUUUAAUUUUUGUCAGGAAACCUCUUCGAACUUAGUUCUGAAGGCGUUUCCUGUGCACACAUUACUGGGAGAAGGCCCACUCGAGACCAUGAGUCAACCAUAUCACAUCUGCUUCUGGCGGGGACACCUGCUCCUAUAACCCCUGCUACCUGCUGUCAUCGAUGCUGGCUGGAACUAGGCCUGGUGUGCAAAGAUGGACCAGCCAAGCACCUCGGGCAUGUGAGAGUAGGAUGGGAAAGACCAAGCAAACAGCAGGAGAAAAAGUUCUUUUUUAAUAACAAAGGGUCUGAGUCACUGCCUGGCCAUUUCCUGGGUAAAACUGUAAUGGAGCAGAGGCUAGACUAA